AGUUUGAUCCUGGCUCAGAUUGAACGCUGGCGGCAUGCCUUACACAUGCAAGUCGAACGGCAGCGGGCCUUCGGGUGCCGGCGAGUGGCGAACGGGUGAGUAAUGCAUCGGAACGUGCCAUUGAGUGGGGAUAACGUAGCGAAAGUUGCGCUAAUACCGCAUAUUCUGUGAGCAGGAAAGCAGGGGACCGCAAGGCCUUGCGCUCUUUGAGCGGCCGAUGUCAGAUUAGCUAGUUGGUGAGGUAAAGGCUUACCAAGGCGACGAUCUGUAGCGGGUCUGAGAGGAUGAUCCGCCACACUGGAACUGAGACACGGUCCAGACUCCUACGGGAGGCAGCAGUGGGGAAUUUUGGACAAUGGGGCAACCCUGAUCCAGCCAUGCCGCGUGAGUGAAGAAGGCCUUCGGGUUGUAAAGCUCUUUCGGCCGGGAAGAAAUCGCAUGGGUGAAUACCCUGUGUGGAUGACGGUACCGGAACAAGAAGCACCGGCUAACUACGUG
rnacentral:rRNA from 1 species